rnacentral:piRNA from 1 species
UACUGGCAGGAUGAGAACGUCUACUU